rnacentral:rRNA from 1 species
UACGAAGGGUGCAAGCGUUACUCGGAAUUACUGGGCGUAAAGCGUGCGUAGGCGGUUUGUUAAGUCCGUUGUGAAAGCCCUGGGCUCAACCUGGGACUUGCAGUGGAUACUGGCGAGCUAGAGUGCGGUAGAGGAUGGUGGAAUUCCCGGUGUAGCGGUGAAAUGCGUAGAGAUCGGGAGGAACACCCGUGGCGAAGGCGGCCAUCUGGACCAGCACUGACGCUGAGGCACGAAAGCGUGGGGAGCAAACAGG